GACGAACGCUGGCGGCGUGCUUAACACAUGCGAGUCGAACGGAAAGGCCUUUUCGGAGGUACUCGAGUGGCGAACGGGUGAGUAACACGUGGGUGAUCUGCCCUGCACUCUGGGAUAAGCCUGGGAAACUGGGUCUAAUACCGGAUAGGACCGCACUUUAGUGUGUGUGGUGGAAAGUUUUUUCGGUGUAGGAUGAGCCCGCGGCCUAUCAGCUUGUUGGUGGGGUAAUGGCCUACCAAGGCGGCGACGGGUAGCCGGACUGAGAGGUUGGUCGGCCACAUUGGGACUGAGGUACGGCCCAGACUCCGACGGGAGGCAGCAGUGGGGAAUAUUGCACAAGGGGCGCAAGCCUGAUGCAGCGACGCCGCGUGGGGGAUGACGGCCUUCGGGUUGUAAACUCCUUUCGCCAGGGACGAAGCGUUUUGUGACGGUACCUGGAGAAGAAGCACCGGCUAACUACGUG
rnacentral:rRNA from 1 species